rnacentral:rRNA from 1 species
CCUACGGGUGGCAGCAGUGGGGGAUAUUGGACAAUGGGGGGAACCCUGAUCCAGCGACGCCGCGUGAGUGAAGAAGUAUCUCGGGAUGUAAAGCUCUAUCAGCAGGGAAGAAGCAAUGACUGUACCUGAGUAAUAAGCCCCGGCGAACUACGUGCCAGCAGCCGCGGUAAUACGUAGGGCGCAAGCGUUAUCCGGAAUUACUGGGUGUAAAGGGAGCGUAGACGGUGAUGUAAGUCUGGAGUGAAAGGCGCGGGCCCAACCCCCGGACUGCUCUGGAAACUAUGUGACUGGAGUGCAGGAGAGGCGAGCAGAAUUCCUGGUGUAGCGGUGAAAUGCGUAGAUAUGAGGAGGAACACCAGUGGCGAAGGCGGCUCACUGGACUGGAACUGACGUUGAGGCUCGAAAGCGUGGGGAGCGAACAGGAUUAGAUACCCCAGUAGUC